rnacentral:tRNA from 1 species
GUGUAGCUCAGUGAUAGAGCACUUGUCUAGCAUGCACAAUGCACAAGGCCCUGGGUUCAAACCCCAGCAC